UGAAGAGUUUGAUCCUGGCUCAGCCUGAACGCUGGCGGCAUGGCUAAAACAUGCAAGUCGAGGGAGAAGGGGGCUUCGGCCCCUGGACACCGGCGAAAGGGCGAGUAACGCGAUCGAACGUGCCCCGAGGUAGAGGAUAGCCGUGGGAAACUGCGGGUAAUACUCUAUAAGUUCCAAGGAAGAAAGCUCCGGCGCCUUGGGAGCGGCGAUCGUCCUAUCAGGUUGUUGGUGGGGUAAAGGCCUACCAAGCCGAAGACGGGUAGCGGGUGUGAGAGCAUGGCCCGCCGCAUCGGAACUGAGACACUGUCCGGACUCCUACGGGAGGCUGCAGUAACGAAUCUUCCGCAAUGCGCGAAAGCGUGACGGAGCAAUGCCGCGUGUGGGAUGAAGCGGUUACGCCGUGUAAACCACUGUCAGGACUUAGGAAGAACUGACCGAGUCCAAAGGAAGGGCCGGCUAAUCUCGUGCCAGCAGCCGCGGUAAUACGAGAGGCCCGAGCGUUAGGCGGAAUCACUGGGCUUAAAGGGUGCGUAGGCGGAUCAGUAAGCAUUUUGUGAAAUCCCUCGGCUCAACCGAGGAAUUGCAGAGUGAACUGCUGGUCUUGAGGUAGGCAGAGGUCAUCGGAACGUACGGUGGAGCGGUGAAAUGCGUAGAUAUCGUACGGAACGCCGAAGGGGUAGCCAGGUGACUGGGCCUUACCUGACGCUGAGGCACGAAAGCGUGGGGAUCAAACAGGAUUAGAUACCCUGGUAGUCCACGCCGUAAACGAUG
rnacentral:rRNA from 1 species